UACGUAGGGCGCAAGCGUUGUCCGGAAUUAUUGGGCGUAAAGAGCUCGUAGGCGGUCUGUCACGUCUGCCGUGAAAAACCCCGAGGCUUAACCUCGUGGCUUGCGGUGGAUACGGGCAGACUAGAGGUAGGUAGGGGGAGAACGGAAUUCCCGGUGUAGCGGUGAAAUGCGCAGAUAUCAGGAGGAACACCGGUGGCGAAGGCGGGUCUCUGGGCCGAUACUGACGCUGAGGAGCGAAAGCGUGGGGAGCAAACAGG
rnacentral:rRNA from 1 species